CAACCCUCAAGCUCUGCUUGGUGUUGGGCCCCGCCGCCCCGGCGGGCCCUAAAGUCAGUGGCGGUGCCGUCCGGCUCCGAGCGUAGUAAUUUUUCUCGCUUUGGAGGCCCGGUCGCGUGCUUGCCAUCAACCCCCAAUUUCAAU
rnacentral:misc_RNA from 1 species